AAGAUGUGUAUAAGGGACAGGUGAAUCAUCGAAUCUUUGAACGCACAUUGCGCCCCUUGGUAUUCCGGGGGGCAUGCCUGUUCGAGCGUCAUUUCAACCCUCAAGCACUGCUUGGUCUUGGGCCCUGCCGGCAACGGCUGGCCUUAAAAUCAGUGGCGGCGCCCUCGAGCUCUACGCGUAGUAAUAAAACCCUCGCGUGUGAGUCUCGGCGGCUGCUGGCCAGCAACCCCCAAUUUUUUAUGGUUGACCUCGGAUCAGGUAGGGAUACCCGCUGAACUUAAGCAUAUCAAUAAGCGGAGG
rnacentral:misc_RNA from 1 species